rnacentral:lncRNA from 1 species
AACACUAAGACCUGAUUAAACCAAUAUUAAGUCAAUAGGUCUUCCACUGUAGUAGAGCUGCUAAGGUCUUUCUGAUGUUGAUUUGUCUCGGCUGGACACAGUGGUCAAGUUGCAUCGGGGGGCUGGACCUCUCUAUAGACAUGAGAUGUUGUAGGGUAAAGGUGGGGUUGGGCACCAAUAACUGUUAGGUGAGGACCCAAUGACGACUUUAUUCCUACGGUUAUACUGUGGGUCUGACUUAACUAAGAAAUGGAACCAAUAACUGUUAGAUGAGGUUUUCAUGGCUUAGAGACCAAGUUGCACUGCAACAUGCUUGAGAAGCAUUGUACAAG